UACGUAGGGCGCAAGCGUUGUCCGGAAUUAUUGGGCGUAAAGAGCUCGUAGGCGGCCUGUUGCGUCUGCUGUGAAAUCCCGGGGCUUAACCCCGGGCCUGCAGUGGAUACGGGCAGGCUGGAGGCAGGCAGGGGAGAACGGAAUUCCCGGUGUAGCGGUGAAAUGCGCAGAUAUCGGGAGGAGCACCGGUGGCGAAGGCGGGUCUCUGGGCAGUAACUGACGCUGAGGAGCGAAAGCGUGGGGAGCGAACGGG
rnacentral:rRNA from 1 species